CAAAAUCCUGGGCCAUAAUCCACCUUACUUACUCCAAAAUCCUUGCUCAAUACUCAAAUUAAGACCAGAAAAUACCUCAUCAUUGUCUUAGUGCUCCUAAAAAGAAAACACAAUAGCAUAAUUAUUCAUUCCCACUACCAACGCGCUAUAACAACAGUUAAACCACGCGCUAGUGAAAUUGCAACGCAAGCAUCAAAGCUCUCACUUAUUACUGGCUAGUAGCUGUCACGUGCUUUACACGUGCGUAAGAAAUUUGCCCUCUAUUUUGCACGUGAUUUUCACGCGCCAUCUCUUCUUACAUGGUCAACUCAGCAACUAACUUUGCUGUACUUCACCGUUCUCCUCAGCUCGACGGCAAGAGAGAGAAAGAGUUAGAGAGAGGAGAGAUCUAAGAGAUUCGUUGGUUUUUGAGGUAUGAUUUCACUAAAAACCCUUACUUUUGUUGUUUUGAAACUUGGGAUUAUCGUUUUUUUGUGAAUUUUGCUGUUUAAGUUUGAUGAAAAUGUUGAUUUAGGGUUUUAUUAUUUGUUGUGUUUUUAGUUUUUUAGACUGCUGAGAUUGAAGAUGGUUUGAAAUUGGGGUUUUUUUUACGGGGUUUUGGUGGGGUUAUGGCAACUGGGAUUGUUGGGGGUGAAGGUGGUAAUUCUAAGGAUAGGAAAAAGUUGGGUGAUAGUAAAGUUUACAGUAGGAAAUCUUUCAAAGGACGUAAAACCAACUUAGCUGAAGAAAAUUCUCGAAAUUUGCCUUCCCAAGAGUUGAAUUCUGGGAAGGAGCUUGGUUUUAACAGGUUUGCGGCUUGGUCGUCGGUUAAUCGUGUGGGUCGAGGUGGUGGUGCUGGUGGUGGUGGUGGUUACGCUGCUGGUCAUCGCGAUAUGUUGGGGAAUGGAAUGAGUGGGACGGGAUUUUCCCGGGUUGAGAGUCGGGUUUCGAUUAGUUUGAUGUGUAAGACGAAGAAGGAGAGGCGUGAAUUGAGGAGGAAACUUGAGGGUGAGCUUAAUCUAGUUAGGAGUUUGGUGAAGAAGCUUGAACGUAAUGGUAGUGGUAUGAGGUCUAUGGUGGAUGGUGGUAAUAAUGAUGUGGGGAAGUUGAAAAGAGUUCAUUCUGAGGUUGGUUCGGUGGGGUGGCAUGAGGGUAGGCCAAUUGAUCAGCUGAGUGUUACUGUGCCAGAACAUAGUCAAUGUGCCAGUGAAAAUGUGGAGAAGGAGAAGAGGACCCCUAAGGCGAAUCAGUUUUAUCAGAGUUCAGAUUUCAUACUGGGUAAGGACAAGAUCACACCAUCAGAACAGAACAAGAAGUCGAAAGGCAUGGGGAAGAAGAACGGGGAGUCUGGAUCUGGAGUUGGGAUGAGCAGCUCUCUGAGUAAGGUAUUUAAGAGUUGUAGUGUAUUGCUGGAUAAGUUAAUGAAGCACAAGCAUGGAUGGGUCUUUAAUACCCCUGUUGAUGUGAAGGGCCUUGGUUUGCAUGAUUAUUUCACUAUAAUUAAGCAUCCAAUGGACUUGGGUACUGUGAAAUCUAGGCUAAAUACCAACUGGUACAAAUCUCCUAAGGAAUUUGCCGAGGAUGUUAGACUUACCUUUAAUAAUGCAAUGACUUAUAAUCCAAAAGGGCAUGAUGUCUAUAUAAUGGCAGAGAUAAUAUCAAAAAUGUUUGAAGAAAAGUGGAGUAGUGUAGAGGCAGAAUAUAUGCGGGAGCUGAGACCUUCUAUGGACUAUGAAGCCAGUCUUUUAACUCCAACAUCAAGAAAGGCUCCACCGGCUCCACCAUCCUUGCCGCCUGCUGUUGAUAUGACUAGGACACUGGAUAAAUCAGAAUCAAUGACAAAGUCUGCUGGUGCUAAACCCAAAAACCCUAAUCUUACGCCAACAGGCAGGAUUCCUGUUCCAAAGAAGCCAAAGGCAAAAGAUCCCAAUAAGCGAGACAUGGCAUAUGUGGAGAAGCAGAAGCUUAGCACUGACCUUCAGAACUUACCUUCAGAGAAGCUUGACAAUGUUGUCCAGAUUAUUAGGAAGAGGAAUCCUUCACUCUGUCAAAAUGACGAUGAGAUUGAGGUGGACAUUGAUAGCGUUGACACUGAGACUCUUUGGGAGCUGGACAGGUUUGUGAUGAACUACAAAAAGAAUCUGACCAAAAUCAAAAAAAUGGCUGAAGUGGCCCAUGUUGAAGGGGACGCUGCACCAACUAUAGAAAAAAAUGAAGCUCCAUCCAUCUUGGAAAACCCAAAAGAAAAUAAAGCUGAAGAGAAGAAUGACCUUUUAUUGCCUCCUGUUCAACAUGAAAAGCAAGCUGGCAACGCCAGCAGAUCAAAUAGUACAAGAAGCUCAAGCAGUGACUCUGGAUCCUCUUCCAGUGAAUCUGAUAGUGAUACUUCCUCAACCUAAGGGUCAGAAAAGCCAGCAUUAUCAUGGGAUUUCAACUCCCUUUUUAGUAAUUUAGUAGGUACUGAUCUUCCUAGAAAGGCAACAUGCUGUAGGUAAUUAAAGUGGAUAAAAUCAUAAAAUUUACAUUAAGGAUUGAGGAGGGUGCUUUGUGGAUGUACAGUGGUUCUGACUAUUCUUGGGGCUCUCUGCUGCUGUAGCACAUGUUGCUUGGAGUACCAGAGUCUGAUGUGCAAGAAAGUGGAAAGCCUUGUCCUUGCUAGGUUGUAAAAUGUGAUUGUAAGAAUGUUUAGUUAGGUAAUCAGUGCUAUAGCUUUUGCUGCUUUGUCUAUAUUGCUAACUGUGUAAUCCCUUCUAGAUUCAGGCAAGUUAGAAAUAUUUAUCUGCUGGGGAAUUUGAUGUAAGCUAACCGAAGAAUGUAAUCUUCGUGAUAUGGUAGUAGAACAAUUAUUUUCUUCCUGAUCUAA